rnacentral:lncRNA from 1 species
UAUGGGGUGGUCUGAACAAAUACUGCCUGAAAGGUCCAAAUUAUUAUGUGGAAUAAUAGUUCAUUAAAAACAAUUUAAUUUAUGAUUUGUUUUUACUUUUUUACAUCAAAUAAUUUAAAGUUACUAUGUAACUAUGUACUAUGUAACAUUUUAAAUUGAGUACUUUUACUCAAGUAGAUUUUUAGAUUGGUACUUUUACUUUUACUUGAGUAGAAUUUUAGCAAAGUAAAGGUACUUUUACUUAAUUACAAUUUUUCUCUGCAUUUGGGGCACAUUAAACUUGUGUUCUGGGUCAGACCAAAAUCUUUAAAACCAGAGACUGGUGGGUAUGAGCCAGUUAACAAAUGAACCAAUCAGUAAGUAAACCAGUGAGGUGCUGAAUCUGUGAGAAACUGGUAUGUGUGUGUGUGUGUGUGUGUGUGUAGGUAUGUGAGUUAACAGUGUCCGGGUGGGAGGGUGCGUGUGAGAAACGGCGCCGGUCUCAGAGCUGAUAGGUCCUCUGGAUGGUUUCUGUUUCAGGGUGGUUUCUAAUUAUCAGAAGUGUUUGGACGGUUGUAGAUGUGCUGCAGAGGAACCGCGUGCUGCAGAGAAAUGUGGUUGGUGUGGUCGGUCACAUUGUGGUGCUGAAACUCACCCAGCCGAGCUCAAAGACAAAAUGACUUCUGAUGCUGUAGGAACCGGUUUACGGGCCUGUGGAUGGGCCUCAGUGUGGAUGCUGCUCCUCCAGUUCGGUUCUGAUCCAGGUGCUGCAGAGACACUGGUGCGCCAGGUUGGAGCCACAGUUCACCUGAACGUAAACAUAUCUGUGGCACAAUCAGAUCAUGUGCGCUGGAAAUUACAGACAGACAAUGUUCUCAUUCUACUGAAAAAUACUGCCCAGGAUUACAUUAUUGAAAAUGGAAGCCUGCAGAUCCGUGAGGGGAACAAGAAACACUCUGGAUUAUACUUUUUGGAGAUUUUUAACAGUAGUGGAAGCUGUUUAUUAAAGAAAGAUUUUAAGAUCAUCUUUCUAGAACCAGUUUCUAAUAUCAAGGUUCUGCCUACUUGCCCUGAGGGAAAGAACACCACUGUAACCUGCACUGUCGACAGCGGAGAUGAUGUGCACUUCCUGUGGAAGUGGACUUUUAACGGGUCUGAGAAGAGCGAGGCACCGCAGGCAGAACCAGAUAAUCACACAGUUCGCAUCCUGUUUGAGGACGGUGUCCCUGACAGGCUUGUCUGUGAGGCACGGAACGCUUUGAAUGACAUAAGAGCAGAAGUUCAAUGCAGAGGGUACAUGUGGACGCUGGUGGCUGGCGCUGGGUUCCUGCUGGUCUGUCUGUUGGUGGGGGUUCUGGCCGUGAGGAGAAAGAGGAGCGCAGUCAGUAAAUCAGGAACAGAUGAUGUUUACCUCGACAUGACGGGACGACUUCAAGCCAAACCCCAACCUCAACAUCCGGCAGCCCCCCCUCCCGACACCUACGGUAAUGCAGCUCUUCCUUUACACUGUCUAUUUUACUAAUACUAUCAUUACAACAAUCACUAUAACUACAACAAUCACUAUAACUAUCACUACAACAAUUACUACCACUACUACUAUCACUAUAACUAUCACUAGAAUUAUUAUAACUUUCACUCAAACUGUCACAACAAAUAUCACUUAAACUAUCAUUUUAACUAUCACUAUAACAAUCACUUUAACUAUCACUCAAACUUUUACUCGAACUAUCAUUACAACAAUUACUACAACAAUCAAUAUAACAAUCACUACAAUUACUAUCAUUACUACUAUCACUACAACAAUCACUAUAACUAUCACUAUAACUAUCAUUACAACAAUCACUAUAACUAUCACUAACUCUCACUCAGAUUAUCACUACCACUAUAACUAUCACUAAAACAAUUACUAUAACUAUCACUACUACUACUACUACUACUAUCACUAUAACUAUCACUACAACAAUUACUAUCACUAUAACUAUCACUACUACUAUUAUUAUAACUAUCACUAUAACUAUCACUACAACAAUCACUAUAACUAUCACUACAAUUACUACCACUAUCACUAUGACUAUCACUACAACAAUUAAUAUCACUAUAACUAUUACUACAACAAUCACUAUAACUAUCACUACAACAAUUACUACCACUAUCACUAUAACUAUCACUACAACAAUUACUAUAACUAUCACUAACUCUUACUCAAAGUAUCACUACCACUAUCACUACAACAAUUACUACAACAAUCACUAUAACAAUCACUACAAUUACUAUCACUACUACUAUCACUAUAACUAUCACUACAAUUACUAUAACUUUCACUUUCACUACAACUAUCAGUACAAAUAUCACUCAAACCCUCAUUAUCACUACAACAAUCACUAUAACUAUCACCAUCACUAUAACUCACAAUUAUUAUAUCACGGUAACACUCUACUACUAUCACUAUAACCCACUACAACUAUCCCUAUAACUAUCAAUAAACUAUCACUAUAACAAACUACA